UUACGGCCACAUCAUGUUGAAACGCCUGUUCUCGUACGUUCACUGAAGUUAAGCAACAUUGAGCCCCAUCAGUAUCUUGAUAAGUUACCGCUUGGGAAAUACCAGGUGCUGU